GUAGGGAAUAUUGGGCAAUGGUCGGAAGACUGACCCAGCCAUGCCGCGUGCAGGAAGACGGCCCUCUGGGUUGUAAACUGCUUUUAUCUGGGAAGAAAAAGGCCAUGCGUGGCAAAUUGCCGGUACCAGAUGAAUAAGCACCGGCUAACUCCGUGCCAGCAGCCGCGGUAAUACGGAGGGUGCGAGCGUUGUCCGGAUUUAUUGGGUUUAAGGGGUGCGUAGGCGGCUGAUUAAGUCAGCGGUGAAAGACUUCGGCUUAACCGGAGCAGUGCCGUUGAUACUGGUUGGCUUGAGUGUCGUAGGGGUACAUGGAAUUGAUGGUGUAGCGGUGAAAUGCAUAGAUACCAUCAGGAACACCGAUAGCGAAGGCAUUGUACUGGCCGACAACUGACGCUGAUGCACGAAAGUGUGGGGAUCGAACAGGAUUAGAUACCCCAGUAGUCC
rnacentral:rRNA from 1 species